rnacentral:rRNA from 1 species
UGGGGAAUUUUGGACAAUGGGCGCAAGCCUGAUCCAGCCAUGCCGCGUGAGUGAAGAAGGCCUUCGGGUUGUAAAGCUCUUUCGGCGGGGACGAAACGGUUCGUGACAACACCACGGACUAAUGACGGUACCCGCAUAAGAAGCACCGGCUAACUACGUGCCAGCAGCCGCGGUAAUACGUAGGGUGCAGGCGUUAAUCGGAAUUACUGGGCGUAAAGCGUGCGCAGGCGGUUUGUUAAGACAGGUGUGAAAUCCCCGGGCUUAACCUGGGAAUUGCGCUUGUAACUGGCAGGCUAGAGUGUGGCAGAGGGGGGUGAAUUCCACGUGUAGCAGUGAAAUGCGUAGAUAUCAUGAAGAACACCGGUAGCGAAGGCGGUUUCCUGGUCCGUAACUGACACUGAGGCGCGAAAGCGUGGGAGCAAACAGGAUUAGAUACCCCAGUAGUCCCUGAGCGGGCUGGCAAGGCGCAU